rnacentral:rRNA from 1 species
UACGAAGGGGGCUAGCGUUGCUCGGAAUCACUGGGCGUAAAGGGUGCGUAGGCGGGUUUUUAAGUCAGGGGUGAAAUCCUGGAGCUCAACUCCAGAACUGCCUUUGAUACUGAAGAUCUUGAGUCCGGGAGAGGUGAGUGGAACUGCGAGUGUAGAGGUGAAAUUCGUAGAUAUUCGCAAGAACACCAGUGGCGAAGGCGGCACUCUGGGACGGUACUGACGCUGAGACGCGAAAGCGUGGGGAGCGAACAGG